GGGGAAUAUUGGACAAUGGGCGAAAGCCUGAUCCAGCCAGGCCGCGUGUGUGAAGAAGGUGUUCGGAUUGUAAAGCCCUUUUGUUGGGAAAGAAAAGCAGCCGGCCAAUACCCGGUUGUUAUGACGGUACCCAAAGAAUAAGCACAGGCUAACUUCGUGCCAGCAGCCGCGGUAAUACGAAGGGUGCAAGCGUUAAUCGGAAUUACUGGGCGUAAAGCGCGCGUAGGUGGUUCGUUAAGUUGGAUGUGAAAGCCCCGGGCUCAACCUGGGAACUGCAUCCAAAACUGGCGAGCUAGAGUAUGGCAGAGGGUGGUGGAAUUUCCUGUGUAGCGGUGAAAUGCGUAGAUAUAGGAAGGAACACCAGUGGCGAAGGCGACCACCUGGGCUAAUACUGACACUGAGGUGCGAAAGCGUGGGGAGCAAACA
rnacentral:rRNA from 1 species